UUUAUUGCAUUUUAUCUAUGCUCUGACAUCACUUGUGUGAUAUAAGUUCAAUCCCGCUCACAUGCACGCUCUAAUUAGUCACUUUAAGGUUUUAAUUUAUUCACAGUUUCCACAUCACUACACUUUAUGGCUUCGUCACUUUUUAGGUGUUGGCCAGCACAUCGCGAUUCAGGUAUCUACGUGGACAUCUCGGGUCGGGGUGCGUCACCGAUCCUCCUUUUUCAAUUUUUUUUUCUUUUCAGUUUUUUUUUGGUUAAUUUUUCUUUUAUUUCUCUUACCAUAACAACAAACUACCAUAUUCAUGUUCUUCAAAAUAUAUUUUUCGUGCAAAAUCUAUUAUAAGUUCAUAUUUAUACACUUGAAAUCAAUUAUUUAAAACCUAAAUUUAUAAAUAUUUUUCUAUUUUGCAUCUUUAAAAAAUCAAUAAAAAAUAACUUGGGGCCUAAUGAACGGUUGGAUCACAUCCAAAGGUAUUUCAACAUUUUCCUUAACUUUGAUGGAAAAUAUUUCCUAAAGUCAAAAUUUCAAUUUUUUCCCAAAAAUUGUGAGUUAUAACCCACAGUUUUCCAAUCGAUUUUGAGAAUUUUUAUUAGCCAAAGUUAGAGUCAUUCUAUUCACACAACAUGUUUUCUAAAAUUAAUUUAGGACAUUCCCAAGAUUUUGGACACAUACAAAUCUCUUUGGGGGACCUGCUAUUAGUUUUCAUUAUUUUUAUAUUUUUCAACUUUAAAAAUCAACAAAAGAUAGUGUUGGGACCUAAUAAACGCUAUGAUUGUUGAAUGUAAUAGAAUCAGGUUGUUAAUGAUGAGUGUCAUGUCAACAUAGGUGGUUAGUAUUUGGAGUGCCAUGUCAGCAAGGUUGUUAAGUAAGUUUGUCAGAAGUUGGUUGUGUUAGUUAGAUUAGUAGCUUGGCUACUAAGUUUCCAUAGCUCUAAUAACAACUGAAACUAUGCAAAUAUAAUAGUGAAGAUUCAUCAAUACAAAAGAUUUCAUUCUUUUUAGUUUUCUCUCAAUUGUUCUUUAGUUUUUCUCUCUGCCUUUUCGGGUUUUCUGCAUAAUUGCAAAACUGUUAUCAUGUUAUCAUUCGAUGACUAUUUUGAUCUUUGUGGUUGUUCGUCCGUUGUGAUUGUCUCUGAGUGUUGGGGAUCUUUUGGUGUUUUCGAACGGGAUUUUCCAAUCAAGAACUCAAUCUUCAGGUAACUCGGAUGGUGUUGUACCAAGGAAAGAGUGAUGAUGGAGAGCUGUUCAAGAUCCUGAUCAAUGUGUUUUCAAAGUUUUUGUUGCAAAGCUUGGGAAUAAUGCUGCUUUUGUUGGAAAGAAGAUAAAGAGUUCAGUAUGGCAUAAAAAGUUGGGUCAUCAAUUUGAGGAAAUACUAAAUAGAAUGUUAAAUGUUGCUGAGUUUCCUGUUACUUCAUAUUCUUGUCCAUCGCUAUGUUUUGCAUGUAUUCAUGGCAAGAUGAAUAGGUUACCUUUCCAUGUAAAACAAGAUAGGUCAACUGUAAUGUUUGAAAAUAUCCAUUAAGAUGUUUGGGGACCUUCACUUGUGAAGUCUAUUGAAGCUUUUAGAUAUUACAUAAGCUUUGUUGAUGAAUAUUCUAGAUUUGUAUGGAUUUUCCCAAUGAUGAAUAAAUCAGAUGUCUUUCCAUUA